rnacentral:lncRNA from 10 species
UUUCCAUCACUCAAAUAGAAAGGAGAUUUGACAUAUCCUCUUCUCUUGCUGGUUUAAUUGAUGGAAGCUUUGAAAUUGGAAAUUUGCUUGUGAUUGUAUUUGUAAGUUACUUUGGAUCUAAACUACACAGACCGAAGUUAAUUGGAAUUGGUUGUCUCCUUAUGGGAACUGGAAGUAUUUUGACAUCUUUACCACAUUUCUUCAUGGGAUAAUUUUGAUUAUCCUCAGUAAGGCUUCACAACUUCACCUGCUGCUGUACAGGUUUUCCCAUCAGCAUUUCACUGAAGCUGCUCUUUCUAAGUUAUAGGUAUUCUAAAGAAACCCAUAUUAAUCCAUCAG